rnacentral:rRNA from 1 species
GAUGAACGCUGGCGGCGUGCUUAACACAUGCAAGUCGAACGGAAAGGCCCAAGCUUACUUGCGUACUCGAGUGGCGAAAGGGUGAGUAACACGUGGGUGAUCUGCCCUGCACUUCGGGAUAAGCCUAGGAAACUGGGUCUAAUACCGGAUAGGACGAUGGUUUGGAUACCAUUGUGGAAAGUUUUUUCGGUGUGGGAUGAGCCCGCGGCGUAUCAGCUUGUUGGUGGGGUAAUGGCCUACCCAGUCGUAGGAAGGUAGCCGGCCUGAUAGGGUGUACGGCCACAGUGGUACCGUGAUACGAGACAGACUCCUAAGUAAGGGAGAAGGGUGGAAUAUUGCACAAUGGGAGAAAGCCUGAGGCAGCGACGCCGCGUGGGGCAUGACGGCAUUCGGGCUGUACACUACUUUCGCUAUGGAAGAAGCGAUUUUGUGACGGUACCUGGAGAAGAAGCACCAGCUAACUACGUG